rnacentral:rRNA from 1 species
UACAGGGGGUGCAAACGUUGCUCGGAAUUAUUGGGCGUAAAGCGCGCGUAGGCGGUCUUUUAAGUCGGAUGUGAAAGCCCUUGGCUCAACCAAGGAAGCGCACCCGAAACUGAAAGGCUGGAGUAUCAGAGAGGGUCGUGGAAUUCCCGGUGUAGAGGUGAAAUUCGUAGAUAUCGGGAGGAACACCGGCGGCGAAGGCGGCGACCUGGCUGAAUACUGACGCUGAGGCGCGAAAGCGUGGGGAGCAAACAGG